AGUGAACGCUGGCGGUAGGCCUAACACAUGCAAGUCGAACGGCAGCACAGUAAGAGCUUGCUCUUACGGGUGGCGAGUGGCGGACGGGUGAGGAAUACAUCGGAAUCUACUUUUUCGUGGGGGAUAACGUAGGGAAACUUACGCUAAUACCGCAUACGACCUACGGGUGAAAGCAGGGGAUCUUCGGACCUUGCGCGAUUGAAUGAGCCGAUGUCGGAUUAGCUAGUUGGCGGGGUAAGGGCCCACCAAGGCGACGAUCCGUAGCUGGUCUGAGAGGAUGAUCAGCCACACUGGAACUGAGACACGGUCCAGACUCCUACGGGAGGUAGCAGUGGGGAAUAUUGGACAAUGGGCGCAAGCCUGAUCCAGCCAUACCGCGUGGGUGAAGAAGGCCUUCGGGUUGUAAAGCCCUUUUGUUGGGAAAGAAAAGCAGCAGGUUAAUACCCCGCUGUUCUGACGGUACCCAAAGAAUAAGCACCGGCUAACUUCGUG
rnacentral:rRNA from 1 species